CUCUCUUUUGUUUUCUCUUUCCUUUCUUCUUUCUUUGCUUCUUCUGUUCUUCUUCUUUCUUCCUCUCGGUCGAUUUUAUUCUCAAUGGUUCGAGCUUGAGUUUCUCGAAAUUAGAUCUUAGAAAGCUUGUAGUUAUUGAGUUGAGGGAGAAGGUGAUGCUGCUGAUGUCGUUUGAGUUCUGGAAAAGCAGAAUUUUGUUAGUCUUCAUUAACAACGAUCGAUCUAAAGGAUGAACCAGUGGAUUGAGGAUCUCAAGGUAGGAGUGGUUUGCCUUCAGAAUCAGUUUUCAGUAAUCAGAAGAAAAGGUUCGCUCGAAGAUAACCGUUUUGUGGCUUAAAGCUUUUAUCGUAUUAAAGAUGUUGCGUAGCUCUUGUAUAUGUAUAUUUCUGUUAAUCUGUAAAACAACACAUUAUUAUAUUCAUAUCACUUGAGAGAUCUUCACUUAUAUAAUACCAGAGUGUAUGGGUUUGUCUUUGGGAUUAGCUCAUGUAAUUAUGAUUAUUAUAAUCGGUAAUCUUGGUUUGAUGCUUCA